rnacentral:rRNA from 1 species
GCGGCGUGCUUAACACAUGCAAGUCGAGCGGGGACUCGGGGCUUCGGCCUUGAGUUCUAGCGGCGGACGGGUGAGUAACGCGUGAACAAUCUGUCCCAGACAGGGGGAUAACACUUGGAAACAGGUGCUAAUACCGCAUAAGACCACGACACCACAUGGUGACGGGGUAAAAGAUUUAUCGGUUUGGGGUGAGUUCGCGUCCGAUUAGCUAGUUGGUGAGGUAACGGCCCACCAAGGCGACGAUCGGUAGCCGACCUGAGAGGGUGAUCGGCCACAUUGGAACUGAGACACGGUCCAAACUCCUACGGGAGGCAGCAGUAGGGAAUCUUCCGCAAUGGACGAAAGUCUGACGGAGCAACGCCGCGUGAGCGAAGAAGGCCUUCGGGUCGUAAAGCUCUGUUGUCAGGGAAGAACAAGUGCCAUUCGAAUAGGUUGGCACCUUGACGGUACCUGGCCAGAAAGCCACGGCUAACUACGUGCCAGCAGCCGCGGUAAUACGUAGGUGGCAAGCGUUGUCCGGAAUUAUUGGGCGUAAAGCGCGCGCAGGCGGUCCUUUAAGUCUGAUGUGAAAGCCCACGGCUCAACCGUGGAGGGUCAUUGGAAACUGGAGGACUUGAGUGCAGAAGAGAAGAGUGGGAAUUCCCACGUGUAGCGGUGAAAUGCGUAGAGAUGUGGAGGAACACCAGUGGCGAAGGCGACUCUUUGGUCUGUAACUGACGCUGAGGCGCGAAAGCGUGGGGAGCAAACAGGAUUAGAUACCCUGGUAGUCCACGCCGUAAACGAUGAGUGCUAAGUGUUAGGGGGUUUCCGCCCCUUAGUGCUGCAGCUAACGCAUUAAGCACUCCGCCUGGGGAGUACGGCCGCAAGGCUGAAACUCAAAGGAAUUGACGGGGGCCCGCACAAGCGGUGGAGCAUGUGGUUUAAUUCGAAGCAACGCGAAGAACCUUACCCGGGCUCGAACGGCUGGUGAACGACACAGAGAUGUGAAGGCUCUUCGGAGCGCCAGUCGAGGUGCUGCAUGGUUGUCGUCAGCUCGUGCCGUGAGGUGUCGGCUUAAGUGCCAUAACGAGCGCAACCCUUGCCGCUAGUUACCAUCAGGUAAUGCUGGGGACUCUAGCGGGACUGCCGCCGUAAGGUGAGAGGAGGGGGGGGAUGACGUCAAAUCAGCACGGCCCUUACGUCCGGGGCGACACACGUGUUACAAUGGCAGGUACAGAGGGCGGCCAGGCAGCGAUGCCGCGCAAAUCUCGAAAGCCUGUCUCAGUUCGGAUUGGAGUCUGCAACCCGACUCCAUGAAGUUGGAUUCGCUAGUAAUCGCACAUCAGCCAUGGCGCGGUGAAUACGUUCCCGGGCCUU